rnacentral:rRNA from 1 species
GACGAACGCUGGCGGCGUGCCUAAUACAUGCAAGUCGAGCGCAGGAAGCCGUCUGAACCCUUCGGGGGGACGACGGUGGAAUGAGCGGCGGACGGGUGAGUAACACGUAAAGAACCUGCCCAUAGGUCUGGGAUAACCACGAGAAAUCGGGGCUAAUACCGGAUGUGUCAUCGGACCGCACGGUCCGCUGAUGAAAGGCGCUUCGGCGUCGCCCAUGGAUGGCUUUGCGGUGCAUUAGCUAGUUGGUGGGGUAACGGCCCACCAAGGCGACGAUGCAUAGCCGACCUGAGAGGGUGAUCGGCCACACUGGGACUGAGACACGGCCCAGACUCCUACGGGAGGCAGCAGUAGGGAAUCUUCCACAAUGGACGAAAGUCUGAUGGAGCAACGCCGCGUGAACGAUGAAGGCUUUCGGGUCGUAAAGUUCUGUUGUAAGGGAAGAACAAGUGCCGCAGGCAAUGGCGGCACCUUGACGGUACCUUGCGAGAAAGCCACGGCUAACUACGUGCCAGCAGCUGCCGUAACAC